GUCCAGUCUCCCAAUACCUACAACACGCGAAUCAUCAACAGGACGACUAGGCACUCCACUUAUUGGUCUAGCAGACUGUCCUCCACUGUAGGCCGACAUAGGCGUGCCACGAAGGUAUCGAUCAUAGGAUACUCCGAUGGAAUCUGAAUCUCUAACUGCACGGAGAGCCGCUCUGUCAUCAUCACGGGGAUAAUAAUUGGGCAGCUCAUGGCCACUAGGGACAUCAUAGUCUGAGCGAGGACGUUUUCCAACGAGAGUAGGAAUGGCCUGCUGUUGCUGCUGCCGUGCUUCGCUGUAUCUCCAAUACGCAUCGGCCAUAGCUUGAUGAGAAGUUUUGAGAGAGAGACAGAGAGAGAGAGAGAGAACAAGUGAAAAGCAGAAGACGU
rnacentral:misc_RNA from 1 species